AUGGCCUGUUAGCUGAGUCUGGUGAGGACCUGUGCUAUGCCAAGGUCACUGGAGGGUGACGCCUGUGCUACAGAAGGAGGCGUGGAGGCACCAACCAGAGAGGAUGGGUGAGAGGGAAGCAAAGGCCCUUCCAGAAGGCCUGGUUUGUGUGAGUCAGUGAGGAGCCAGCAGGCCCACCUUGCCCCCGUCUCAUGGACCUCUAUCUGCUGAAUGAAUGAGUCUUCCCGGCCAUCUUGGAUUUUCAUUGUGAUUCCUUUGUGAGAAGAAAUCGGAGCAACCAUAUAAAUGCUGCCCAGAGACGUCUGUCAUCUUCUGACUUAAAGAGACAAACCACAGCUACAUGAUUGUUGAUCGCUGGUCUGUGUUUACCCAACUUCUCAGACACCUGAGAGCUCACGUAACUCAACAUUUAUGAAAGUGCCAUGUGUUCAGGUGGUUUCCUUGGCCUGCCUUCUGAUUUUCUGAGAAAUCAUGGUCUUGCCUCAGUUUUUCCCAUCGUAGCUGUGGUCAGUUAUGUAGCUGCUCUGCUGCACAUGAGGCCUGGCCCUCCCGGGGCCGCGCGCCCGGCUGGGGAGCCCCAGGAAGCCGGUGGUGAAGGCCCUCCCCGAGCCCCAUGGUGAGCGCAUCGGCGGAGGCCAUGUCCUCGCUCUGCGUGAAGAAAGGACACUAAGUGCCAGCAGCUGAGGGACCUCUGAUUGCUUUGAUCAACCAGAUGUGGUGGAAAUGAUUUGUGCCAGUUCACCGGCCCAGGCCUCAAGAGAGAGAGACCGGCAGCUUCCUUGCCUUCCUUUGGACCACUCACUUUGACUGGAGGAAGGCUUACUGCCCCACGGAGAGGCCCUCCUGGAGAACUGAAGGCCUUUGCUAACAGCUCUGACUGAGCCCGUCCUGACUAUAACCAGACCACUUCACUUCUCACCUGAGAAGUGUAUUCUCCAGCCGUACUGGAGCUGCCCCAGCUAUGCCACAUGGAGCAGGGCUUCUGGAACCCACUGGUGAGACGGCUCCUUCCCUGUGUCUCCAGUGCACCCUUCCUAGGGCUCCUGCCCUCCAAAGGCCUCGUCUUGUGCCUGUUUGAGCGUGGCUGGCUCUGAUGGUUGCAGGCGCAUGACAUGGCUGAGACACAGCAGCUCCACAGGACACCAGGCUGCAGGGAAAGCUUCAGUCUGGGCCCCGGCUGACAGGCUGCUGCAAAGUCACAUUAGCAUUUAAGCUUCUGGGGCCUCUUUUUGUAAAAUGAGGCAUGUUAACUGACUGGGGAGUAUCCUGAGACCAGGAGAAGGAGCUGAGGAGAAUCAGGUGGUGGUAUUUAUUGUGCUCAUCAGAGCCUCUUUAAGAGGCUUAAGAAUUUAAGGUAGGGAGGUCAUCCUUGGGAGUAGCUCUCCUUCCUGCCUCUACAGCUUUCUCCUGACUUGACACCCCUGCCCUUUUCCGAAGACCAGGAAGAGUCUCAGGAAUGGCUGCCCCUGGACUGGUAGGAGAGAGAGAAUUCUGGGAAGAAAGCCUUUCAGGGAGCUUGGCCUGCUCUGGGAUUGCACGGCUUUCCUUUCACGGCUGAGUCCCCGGAGAGCCGGAAGGAGGGCUGCCCGCGCCACCGCCCCUCCCCGCCCUGCCCCAAGCCAUGCCUUGUUUCUUAGCUCUGCCCGUUCUGUGAGGGACCUUUCCUCCUGCGAGGCAAAGCUAUGGUUCUGGUCUCAGUCUCGUUUACCAUGUGAUGAAAGCGGUGGUACAACGUAUGGCAAAUAGACUUACAAUUUCCCAGAUCCAACCAAAGAGCCUGACUGCCAGAUACAGCCAUCCCUGAUAAACUGCGGUGUUUGCAGUAAAAAUUUCAGUCAGCCACCAGAGGGUGCCCACAGAGCUCUCUGAAAAUGGCCAAAACCUAAGGAAUUCGAGGAAAAAGAACAUUUCCAGCAUAUGUAAGACCAAGACAAAAUCUAGCUCACUCCGACUGGGACAGAUGCUCAGGCCAGCUAGGGAGCUGUAAGUUUGCUGGGGAAGGAGAGCCAGGAUGGGAGUAAGAGAAAGUACCUGAAUUUUAGCUAAACAAGUUGCUUCUUGAUUUUAAAUUAGCAAGUGCAAUAGCACUUUGAGGAUUAGCUCAGGGCGCAUUUUCAUCCC